rnacentral:rRNA from 1 species
UUCGCAAUGCCCGAAAGGGUGACGAAGCGACGCCGCGUGUGGGAUGAAGGCCCUCGGGUUGUAAACCACUGUCGGGAGUUAAGAAUUGUAGGAAUGCUAAUAGUAUUUCUACUUGACUAAGGCUCCGGAGGAAGCCACGGCUAACUCUGUGCCAGCAGCCGCGGCAAUACAGAGGCGGCAAGCGUUGUUCGGAAUUAUUGGGCGUAAAGAGCAUGUAGGCGGCUAUGUAAGUCGGUUGUGAAAGCCUUCCGCUUAACGGAAGAAUGGCGGUCGAAACUGCAUGGCUUGAGUGCGGGAGGGGAGAGUGGAACUUCUGGUGGAGCGGUGAAAUGCGUAGAUAUCAGAAGGAACGUCGGCGGCGAAAGCGACUCUCUAGACCGUAACUGACGCUGAGUGUGCGAAAGCUAGGGGAGCAAACGGGAUUAGAUACCCCGGUAGUCCUAGCCGUAAACGAUGGGCACUAAGUAGAGGGGUUUU